rnacentral:rRNA from 1 species
CGCUACCAUGCAAGUCGAACGAGAAAGGGGAGCAAUCCCUGAGUAAAGUGGCGUACGGGUGAGUAACACGUGGGUAAUCUACCUCUGGGUGGGGAAUAACGCUGGGAAACCGGCGCUAAUACCGCAUAACACUGAAAGGUCAAAGGCGCAAGUCGCCUGGAGAGGAGCCCGCGGCUGAUUAGCUAGUUGGUGAGGUAAAGGCUCACCAAGGCAAUGAUCGGUAGCCGGCCUGAGAGGGCACACGGCCACACUGGCACUGAAACACGGGCCAGACUCCUACGGGAGGCAGCAGUGGGGAAUCUUGCACAAUGGGGGCAACCCUGAUGCAGCGACGCCGCGUGAGUGAUGAAGCCCUUCGGGGUGUAAAGCUCUUUCGGCAGGGACGAUAAUGACGGUACCUGAAGAAGAAGCUGCGGCUAACUACGUGCCAGCAGCCGCGGUAAUACGUAGGCAGCGAGCGUUGUUCGGAGUUACUGGGCGUAAAGAGUGCGUAGGCGGUUUUCUAAGUUUGGUGUGAAAUCUCCCGGCUUAACUGGGAGGGUGCGCCGAAAACUGGAAGGCUGGAGUAUGGGAGAGGUAAGCGGAAUUCCUGGUGUAGCGGUGAAAUGCGUAGAUAUCAGGAGGAACACCUGCGGUGUAGACGGCUUACUGGACCAUAACUGACGCUGAGGCACGAAAGCGUGGGUAGCAAACAGGAUUAGAUACCCUGGUAGUCCACGCCCUAAACGAUGCAUACUUGGUGUGGGUAGUUCAUUCUAUC